rnacentral:rRNA from 1 species
GAUUCCUACGGGAGGCAGCAGUAGGGAAUAUUGGACAAUGGCUGAAAAGCUGAUCCAGCCAUCCCGCGUGAAGGCAGAAGGUCCUAUGGAUUGUAAACUUCUUUUGAACGGGAGAAAACCCUGGGUCGUGUACCUGGGCUGAUAGUACCGUUAGAAUAAGGGUCGGCUAACUUCGUG